rnacentral:rRNA from 1 species
UCCAGACUCCUACGGGAGGCAGCAGUGGGGAAUAUUGGGCAAUGGGCGCAAGCCUGACCCAGCAACGCCGCGUGAAGGAAGAAGGCUUUCGGGUUGUAAACUUCUUUUAAGAGGGAAGAGUAGAAGACGGUACCUCUUGAAUAAGCCACGGCUAACUACGUGCCAGCAGCCGCGGUAAUACGUAGGGGGCAAGCGUUAUCCGGAUUCACUGGGUGUAAAGGGAGCGUAGACGGCGACGCAAGUCUGGAGUGAAAGCCCGGGGCCCAACCCCGGGACUGCUCUGGAAACUGCGGCGCUGGAGUACGGGGGGGGCAGGCGGAAUUCCUGGUGUAGCGGUGAAAUGCGUAGAUAUCAGGAGGAACACCGGCGGCGAAGGCGGCCUGCUGGACCGUGACUGACGUUGAGGCUCGAGAGCGUGGGGAGCAAACAGGAUUAGAUACCCGCGUAC